rnacentral:siRNA from 1 species
UAGCGCGCUGUAACCGAAGCGGU